rnacentral:rRNA from 1 species
CCCUUAGAUGUUCUGGGCCGCACACGCGCUACACUGAAGGAGGCAGCGUGUACUCCUGGAUCGAAAGAUUUGGGUAACCCGCGAAUCUCCUUCGUGCUAGGGAUUGAGGUUUGCAAUUAUCCUUCAUGAACGAGCAAUUCCCAGUAAGUGCAAGUCAUAAGCUUGCGCUGACUACGUCCCUGCCCUUUGUACACACCGCCCGUCGCUACUACCGAUUGAAUGAUUUAGUGAGGACUUCGGACUGGGACCGAUGCGGCUUUCGGGCUGCGUCGGUAUUCUGGAAAGAUGUCCAAACUGUAUCAUUUAGAGGAAGUAAAAGUCGUAACA